UACGAAGGGGGCUAGCGUUGCUCGGAAUGACUGGGCGUAAAGCGUGCGCAGGCGGUUUUGUAAGCCAGAUGUGAAAGCCCCGGGCUCAACCUGGGAACUGCAUUUGUGACUGCAUAGCUAGAGUAUGGCAGAGGGGGGUAGAAUUCCACGUGUAGCAGUGAAAUGCGUAGAGAUGUGGAGGAAUACCGAUGGCGAAGGCAGCCCCCUGGGCCAAUACUGACGCUCAUGCACGAAAGCGUGGGGAGCAAACAGG
rnacentral:rRNA from 1 species